GGGAAAGUGGCUCAGUGGUAGAGUGCUUGCCUUGCAUGCAUAAGGCCCUGGGUUCGAUUCCUCAGUACCA
rnacentral:tRNA from 1 species